rnacentral:rRNA from 1 species
AGUGAACGCUGGCGGUAGGCCUAACACAUGCAAGUCGAACGGCAGCACAGUAAGAGCUUGCUCUUACGGGUGGCGAGUGGCGGACGGGUGAGGAAUACAUCGGAAUCUACUUUUUCGUGGGGGAUGACGUAGGGAAACUUACGCUAAUACCGCAUACGACCUACGGGUGAAAGCAGGGGAUCUUCGGACCUUGCGCGAUUGAAUGAGCCGAUGUCGGAUUAGCUAGUUGGCGGGGUAAAGGCCCACCAAGGCGACGAUCCGUAGCUAGUCUGAGAGGAUGAUCAGCCACACUGGAACUGAGACACGGUCCAGACUCCUACGGGAGGCAGCAGUGGGGAAUAUUGGACAAUGGGCGCAAGCCUGAUCCAGCCAUACCGCGUGGGUGAAGAAGGCCUUCGGGUUGUAAAGCCCUUUUGUUGGGAAAGAAAAGCAGCAGGUUAAUACCCCGCUGUUCUGACGGUACCCAAAGAAUAAGCACCGGCUAACUUCGUG